AGAGAGAUCAGUUUCAAUAUUAAGAAAUGAAUGUCACACCACUCACCAAUAUAUUUCGUGAUCCACAAACAAAUGUAAUAACAUUCGCAAAUAUAAUUCAUACAUUUCAUGAUCCACAAACAAAUGUAACAACAUUCACAAAUAUAAUUCAUGAUGCACAAAUGAAUGUAACCCCAUUCACAAAUGCCAGCGCAGUUCUAUUCAUUUGCAAACCGGUCUACAUAUAUUCGCAAACCCUAUACAUAUUUGUGACUUCCAUUGUAUUUGUGUGUGGAUUUUUGAGACUGUCCUGACGGUAUUUGACACACAAAUGUGCUCAGCCAAUCACAUCAGCCGGCGUUCGAGCGUAAGGUUGAAAACAUUGCGCUUCUAUUACGCAGAGAAGGCUACAAGCGCGAAGCCACCAUAGAUCUGUAUUAUACACCGAUCCGAGGAAAUAACCGGAAGUAGAGCGGCCGCCUUUACUGAAGUGCUCCCUGACGUAAACUCGUAAUUGAAGCGUGUGAAGUUACUGACUUUCACAUCAUCUUUGUACAAAUAUGUCUGGAUCUGGACUAACGUGUGCCGUAAUCGGAUGUCACAAUAACAGCAGAAAGCUAAAAAUGUGGAAAAAGAGCGUAUGUGCGCUUCAUAGUCCACAGUUUGAAGAGGAUUGUCCUUGUUGUGUGCCCUACGGUGUACACCGCUUCCCCGGCCGUGCUGAGGAUGAAGACAUUCGCAAGAUGUGGAUUAAAAACGUACACCGAAAGGACUUUGCCCCCAAACAAGUAUUCAAGGGUGUGUGGAGUACACUUCCCUGACGGCAGACCAACGCAGGAACACCCAUGAAUAUAGUAAAGCACCAUCAUGUGGAAGACCACCUCAAAGAGGAGAUGUCUCCAGCCCCCAACAGAGAGACCAUGUGAUGAGCCUCCUGUGACAGAUUCUGACACCGAAGUAGGGCAUAGCUUGGAGGAUAGUCUGUCUCCACACCAAUGUGAUGUUGGCACUCAGUGGCCAGAGCGUAGUGAUCAUGAUUAUUGUUCGAUGAAGUCAACAAAAGAUGCAAGCACACAAACAGAUCCUACACCAUCACUGUCAGCUCAUGACAUGGAUGAUAAAGUGUCAAAAAUUUUACACUGGACUAGACAUCAUCAGCUUUUGGCAACUUUUGAACACCAUCAUUGGCUUUCUUCCACAGUCGAAGACGUUCAAAUUACCAGUCCAUGAACAGCUACUGCUGGUCCUAAUGAGGCUUCGGCUUGGCUACAGCCUGUGAUAUGUUCGCAAUGUGGAGAGCAACACUUGCCAAUUUCACAAGGGAAAAUCUUAUGUUUUGGCUCCCUCGAGACACUCUGAAUAGAGUAAGACCCUCAAGUUUUCUUGAACACUAUCCCAAUGCAACAUGCAUCAUAGAUUGCACUGAAAUAUUUGUCCAAAGACCGAAGAACUUGGGGAAAAGAGCAAAAACAUACAGCAACUAUAAGCAUCACAACACCUACAAACUCCUCUAUUGCAUAGCCCCCAAUGGUUUUGUGAUGUAUGUGUCAAAACUGUUUGGUGGCAGAGCUAGUGACACUUUUAUCACAAACUGUGGAUUUCUGUCACAUUUGAUUUUUGGUGAUCAGAUUUUGACAGACCGGGGAUUCACAAUUGGAGAUGUUCUUCCUCCAGGAGUGACAUUGGCUAUUCCAGCAUUUACACGUGGAUGUACACAACUAUCAGAACAUGAAGUCACAAGAACCCGCUGUCUCGCCAAUGUCCGAAUUCAUGUUGAACGUGCAAUAAGAAGGUUAAAAUGCUUCAAAAUUUUGAGUAAUGUAAUUUCAGGUUGAUUAAAACAUGUUGAUGACAUUUUGA